rnacentral:rRNA from 1 species
CAGUAGCCGCGGUAAUACGAAGGGGGCUAGCGUUGCUCGGAAUGACUGGGCGUAAAGGGCGCGUAGGCGGAUUGUUUAGUUAGGCGUGAAAUUCCUGGGCUUAACCUGGGGACUGCGCUUAAUACAGGCAGUCUAGAGUGAGGAAGAGGGUUGUGGAAUCCCCAGUGUAGAGGUGAAAUUCGUAGAUAUUGGGAAGAACACCGGUGGCGAAGGCAGCAACCUGGUCCUUGACUGACGCUGAGGCGCGAAAGCGUGGGGAGCAAACAGGAUUAGAUACCCGAGUAGUCCCUGUCUCUUAUAC